rnacentral:rRNA from 1 species
CAGCAGCCGCGGUAAUACGAGGGGGGCAAGCGUUGUUCGGAAUUAUUGGGCGUAAAGGGUGCGUAGGCGGUUUGGCAAGUUUGGUGUGAAAUCUUCGGGCUCAACUCGAAGUCUGCAUCGAAAACUGCCGGGCUUGAGUAUGGGAGAGGUGAGUGGAAUUUCCGGUGUAGCGGUGAAAUGCGUAGAUAUCGGAAGGAACACCUGUGGCGAAAGCGGCUCACUGGACCAUAACUGACGCUGAUGCACGAAAGCUAGGGGAGCAAACAGGAUUAGAUACCCCUGUAGUCCCUGUCUCUUAUAA